rnacentral:lncRNA from 10 species
GGAAUGGGCCUGUAGGAUAACGAGCAAACCCUGCACCCGGCAUUCAAGGCUGCAGAUAGUAAAUGUCUAAUUACUGCAGAUUUUGGUUGACCUGUCAUCUUCCUGGGGAGGACUCCUGCCCCAGGGCUAGGCCCAGAUCCUUUGCAAUAGGCACCCAUUUACCCAAGUCCCAAAAAUGCCUGCCCUCAAGUUCAGUCUUGCCCUGGAAACCCCAAGGGACACAGCAGGGAUCAAGGCUAACUGAGCCCCCAGGACCCAGGGCCCAGUCAUUCUGGGUGUAUGUGGAGGUGACAGUGAUGCAUGAAUAUAAUCAUUAAAUAGGAACUAUGUCAGGUGACGUGUACCAUGAAGGAAAAUGAAACAGUGUAAGAGGGACAGAGAGUUAUGGGGGUUGCUGUGUUAGAUGCAGGUGUCACGAAAGUCCCCUGGCAAAGCAGAGGCCAUGCAUGACAUGAGAAAUUGUUAGCAGCCGAAAGUAUCC